AUUUUUAUAGAUGGAAGGUAGAUUCACAAAUUACGCAGUUACUCCCCUUUGAUAUAAUUAAGCCAUGAAAUCAUCUGAAAGUUUCCAAUGUCAUUGAAGAACACACGAAGUUUACCGACGAAUUUGCACAGAUUUUUAGAGUAGAUUGUACCAGAAGGCAAUGAUUGAGGAUAGCUAUUCAUACUGAUAAUUAAUCUGACAAGUGGCUGUAGAGUCCCAAUGCACCACCAUGUUGACAUGGUACGUGCCAUAAAUGCAUUAUAAUUUAUUCUCAUCUGUUUAGAAGACACUUCAUUUGGCUUAGUCAGAAUGGGACCUUAAAUGAAGAUGCAUUAUUGUACCGUAUAUGAAA